rnacentral:rRNA from 1 species
CCUACGGGAGGCAGCAGUGGGGAAUAUUGGACAAUGGGCGAAAGCCUGAUCCAGCCAUGCCGCGUGUGUGAAGAAGGCCUUCGGGUUGUAAAGCACUUUCAGUGGGGAAGAAAGCCUUGGGGCGAAUACCCUCGAGGAAGGACAUCACCCACAGAAGAAGCACCGGCUAACUCCGUGCCAGCAGCCGCGGUAAUACGGAGGGUGCGAGCGUUAAUCGGAAUUACUGGGCGUAAAGCGCGCGUAGGCGGUCUGAUAAGCCGGUUGUGAAAGCCCCGGGCUCAACCUGGGAACGGCAUCCGGAACUGUCAGGCUAGAGUGCAGGAGAGGAAGGUAGAAUUCCCGGUGUAGCGGUGAAAUGCGUAGAGAUCGGGAGGAAUACCAGUGGCGAAGGCGGUCUUCUGGACUGACACUGACGCUGAGGUGCGAAAGCGUGGGUAGCAAACAGGAUUAGAUACCCUUGUAGUC